UUUUACACACAAGCAUAAGGGUGGGAGUAAUAUGUUGUAAUGUGUCGUCUUUUUCUUUGCUGUUUUAAAUGCUGCCCGCCGCAAGGUGAAUAUCGCAAAUGAUAGCAGGCUUGGCUCAGACUGGAGUUUUGUUACAGCGCUCGCUAUGAGGCUAAGGAAUAUAUUGCGCUCCAAUGCUACAAAUAACCUUGUCAUGCAAGUGUUUAUCAUAACCAUCUACUGUUACAUAACAUCCAUUUAUGAACAUGGCUUAUCAAGGAUGAGUAACUUGGAGGUCCCUAGACUGAGGAUGGCAGUUUACUACCAUGAGCCAGAACAAAAUGCUGUGGUUUUGGAGAAUGUAUACAUUUCCUGGGGAUUGGUGUGUGUCUCAGAGUGGAAGAGUUUAUUGUUACGGGUCAGGGAAGCUAUGCCAAAUAUUGAGGUGUUUCAUGUGGAGCAUAUUUUUGGCAUGUAAAGGACUCUCUUCCAUUGCCUGGGAUAACUAAUUCUAUGGACUGCGUUCUAGUAUGGAAGAAAAUGUAGAACGACAUCAUUUCUGUUGCAUUGCCAGGAAUUCCUAAUGAAGUAAGUGGAUUAGAAAUGUUCCAGUCGAAAAGAAAAAAAGCAUGUAAAGGACUCUCCAUUGCCUGGGAUAACUAAUUCUAUGGACUGCGUUCUAGUAUGGAAGAAAAUGUAGAACGGCAUCAUUUCUGUUGCAUUGCCAGGAAUUCCUAAUGAAGUAAGUGGAUAAGAAAUGUUCCAGUGGAAAGAAAAAAGGAAAGUACGACUGGGAUGAAGACUAAUUUUCACCGGAGGCCCUGGGAGAAAAAAAACAUUAACCUACACAGCAAAUUACCUAUAUAAUCAUAAAGGAGUCUUCCAUUGCCUGGGAUAACUAAUUCCAUGGACUGUGUUCCUAAGUAUGGAAGAAAAGGUAGAACGGGAUAAUUUCUGUUGCAUUGCCAGGAAUUCCUAAUGAAGUAAGUGGAUUAGAAGUGUCCCAGUCGGAAAGAAAAAAGGUUAUUCUGGACUUGUCCGCAUUGUGGGUUGGAUCCAAGAGGUGAUUUUUGAAGAUAACUAGUCAUCUGCGAUGCCUGCUAAAAUGAAAUGCACAUCUGGAUUGUCUAAUGCCGUGAAGAUUACAUAUAAUAAUUAGGGUGCUUCAAAAAAUUGUUUUUCUCUAUCAUUUUGCAUAGGUUUCUAAAGUGUGAGGUUUGGGGAGUUGUGCAUGUAUGCAGAAAAUUAGAAUUAUCUGACUUCAUUAAGUGACCGCUCACAGCAUGUAAAAAAUUGGUUUCCAGUACCGCUAAUUGCAUUCCAGUGUUGUAUUCAUCUCCAGUCAGUUUUACUUUAGCUUCCAUGACCUCCUGAAACCUACUUUACUUAUUUAAAGCCUUGUGCACUAUUUAAUUCUAUUUUUAUUGUUCAAAUUAUAUGCUGUUUCCUGUUUCAACUGUGCAGAGUCAAAUGUAUUUAAUUACUUUUUGAUGAUUUAUCAAUUUGUAUAGUUUCCGCACAUGUGGCUGGCAAUGUUAGUUGCUAGAGCCCAGUUCCCCUAGUGGUGAACCAUGAGCUCAUUGAGAAAGUCAACCAGAGCUGCAACUGAUGUCUGGCUUGUUGGCCAGCAGUUACCUGCCCUUAAUAUCUCAAUUUGCUCAAAUCAGCUUCCAACCAACAGUCAUGUUUUACGCAGGCUGUUCUGUGAUCUUAAAACCACAAGUUGAAUCGCUCAGUGAGUUGUUCAAAUGCUGUUGAAGUUCUGCAGUUAUGGCAGUUAGCUAGCAUACCUACAACGCAGAAGCCGAAUGCAGUGGCCAAACUCAAAAUGUCUGCAUGAGAAGCAUUCUAGAAUUUGGAAGGAUACGAAGCACCAGUCAGAUACACGGUCUCUGAAACCGAUUUUAAUAAUGCACUUUUGAAGCUUUUUGUUGUGGGGCAUGCUGAUGCAGAAUUUUUGAUAAAGACUCAAGAAGAUAGAUUUUCUACAAGAUUAACGUACAGACAGAAAAAUUAUAAUUGAUGGAGAGGACAUUGAAUUCAAAAAAUGAAUGGACAAAGGAAAAAUGACUACAGGAAGAAAUGAAACACAAAGAUAAAGAACAGGAAGAAAUGAAACACAGGUAACAGCUGAAAGAAACUGUCAGAGAAGCUGGAGAGCUGAUAGAGGUAGAAGACAGUAGUGAACAUGAAAAUGACUAUGAAGAUGAUGCAGCAGCAAACAUGUCAAAAUAUCGCCAGGAUUUAGUAACUGGUAGACAGCCUGCCAAAGAAGUGAGCACAGUAUAUACAGGAUCGCCUGAAUCGUAAGAAGAGUUGAUGCAAAAGCUGUUAGGUUCCAGGGCAUGACCUUAUCUGACUUCGCAACAGAAUGAUAAAUGAAUCUGUUCACUGCUGUCAAUGUAAAGCUGAUCCUGCAGCAUGGAGUGACAUGCCUCACUUUGUCAUUACGAAACAAACUGUUACAGCUUUGCGAGUUAACAACUGUGCUUAACAAACAGUCAAAUUAGCAAUUGACUUCUGUCAAGUGCUGACUCACAGUGAGGAACAGCAAAAGCUGGUAUCUCAGAUUGAGCACCAUUGUCAUAGUUGCAGAACAACUAAAAAGACACUAGUGCUAUAAAUGAACUAAUGUAAACUUGAGCUUACCUGUGAAUGUUAAUUUUUACUAGGCUUAUUUUUUCCUAAACUGACAUUUGUGUUGCUCAGAACUACAAACAGACAUUUCAGAUGCAGCAUGAAACUGAUAUUUGCCAUUUGUGAAUAUAUUUCAUUUCUAUUGGUGCAAUUUGGAAACAAUGUAAUAAUCUCAGAAUUAAAGUGCACUGAGCUCUCACUUAAAAUUUAAGGCUUUAAAUUUUACAUGGUUUUUUGUCCUACCAAUCCUUAUAAAAUCAGGGGGUAUGCGAACAGAAAAUCUCAAAAAAAAAAAAAAAAAUGACACACACAUUUUUGAUUAUACAUGAAGCACCCUAAUAAUGAAGUUAAUUGUUGUUUUUUUUUUUUUUUUUAAUACUGUUUAGGAUUCCUUACGCAAUCAAGGAGCCCUUCAAACCUCAGUUCCCUCCCCCUUAUUCAAGAAAAAAAGCUUCCUGCCAAUAUACCUGGAAUCCCAUUAUUUCUCUGUUGAUGGUGUGGUACCUUUCAAGUCAAACUCAAAUCAUACAGUUAAACAGCUUUUUAGAGGACCAGUUUGCUGACAUAAUGGCUAGAAUAAUAACCAUGUACUCUAGGCACAGACCGAACUGAAGCAGUGACAUUUGAAAUCCAAGAUUUGUACUAGACAAAUGAAACGUCACUACUGAAAAAAAAUGUUAAAAGCUAUGAAACUCUUCUGGUACCUAGUUAUCUGACUGUAAAAAGCUAGACUUUCAAUAGAAAUGUUUAAUAUGCUGUGAAAACUAAGGCCAACAUUAAGUCAUUAUUCUGUGCAAGGCAGAUUGCUCAUUUCUAUCCCCAGGAGGUAGAACAGAAUUACUCACAUUCUUCCAGAAGUGAAACAUGUCUGUUCUUUCCUCUCAAAAGCUAAAUAGCUAAUAAUUUAACAAAGAUGCAGUCUAUUAUUUAGAUCUUUUUUUGUUUAAACUAAUAAACAUGGAAUCCCUUGCAAACUGUCAAAGAUCUAGCUGAGAACUGUACACACCAAUGUCUCCUCCCUAUGUACACCUAACUUCACCAGGAUGACCAAAAUUUUUUCAGUUUUACCCCCUUUAAAUUGGGUGAAUCCCUACUGACCACUGUAAAGAUCUAAACAGUUGUACAGUACUGACUGCCAUUAAAUACUACCUUACAAGAUCUGUUUAAAGAACCAUACAACCAUCUUUUCUCUCUGCCUGCAGUCCUAUAUUUCAACAGUGUUGAUAUUUCAUCUUGUUUUAAACGCUCUUUCCUUCUCACCUUACUCCUGUUUCUCACUAAUGCAUCCCGCCAGUUGUAAUUCUAUCUCCAUUCAUCACCCUCCUUUCUUCUGUAGAGUUUAGCUGCAACAUCCUCCCUAUUGAACAUUAUCCUGCUAAUUAAAUCAGCAGUCUAACCCUUCUACUGUCUUGCCAUACUCCUCCCUUCCUCUGCUAAUUAAAUCAGCAGUCUAACCCUUCUACCAUCAUUCUACUGUCUUGCCAUAUUCCUCCCUUCCUCAUCCCACAAAUGUAUGCAAGUGCUGGUUUUAAUGUGUAUUUUUUAAACAUUUCAUUUUGUUACUUUGCACAGAUUUGUUUUGUUCUCCAUUACAGCUUUGUGUAAAUUUUACUAUUGCUUUGUAGUGAACUUUUAAUCCGAAGUGGGUCUGAAACCAGUCCACUGUGGUGAGUGCCCUACCCCAGAAAAACAGAUAUGAAUAAAAAAUAGUAGUGAUGUGUUACGAUA